UACGUAGGGCGCAAGCGUUUGUCCGGAAUUAUUGGGCGUAAAGAGCUCGUAGGCGGCUUGUCACGUCGGUUGUGAAAGCCCCGGGGCUUAACCCCGGGUCUGCAGUCGAUACGGGCAGGCUAGAGUGUGGUAGGGGAGAUCGGAAUUCCUGGUGUAGCGGUGAAAUGCGCAGAUAUCAGGAGGAACACCGGUGGCGAAGGCGGAUCUCUGGGCCAUUACUGACGCUGAGGAGCGAAAGCGUGGGGAGCGAACAGG
rnacentral:rRNA from 1 species